GAUGAACGCUGGCGGCGUGCCUAAUACAUGCAAGUCGAGCGAAUGGAUUAAGAGCUUGCUCUUAAGAAGUUAGCGGCGGACGGGUGAGUAACACGUGGGUAACCUGCCCAUAAGACUGGGAUAACUCCGGGAAACCGGGGCUAAUACCGGAUAACAUUUUGAACCGCAUGGUUCGAAAUUGAAAGGCGGCUUCGGCUGUCACUUAUGGAUGGACCCGCGUCGCAUUAGCUAGUUGGUGAGGUAACGGCUCACCAAGGCAACGAUGCGUAGCCGACCUGAGAGGGUGAUCGGCCACACUGGGACCGAGACACGGCCCAGACUCCUACGGGAGGCAGCAGUAGGGAAUCUUCCGCAAUGGACGAAAGUCUGACGGAGCAACGCCGCGUGAGUGAUGAAGGCUUUCGGGUCGUAAAACCCUGUUGUUAGGGAAGAACAAGUGCUAGUUGAAUAAGCUGGCACCUUGACGGUACCUAACCAGAAAGCCACGGCUAACUACGUGCCAGCCGCCGCCGUAA
rnacentral:rRNA from 1 species